GAGGCCUAUCAGUAUCCUGAGUAGGGCGGGACACGUGAAAUCCCGUUUGAAUCCGCGAGGACCAUCUCGCAAGGCUAAAUACUAACCAGUGACCGAUAGUGAACCAGUACCGUGAGGGAAAGGUGAAAAGAACCCCGGGAGGGGAGUGAAAGAGAACCUGAAACCGUGUGCCUACAAGUAGUCAGAGCCCGUUAACGGGUAAUGGCGUGCCUUUUGUAGAAUGAACCGGCGAGUUGCGUUAGUCAGCAAGGUUAAGUCAGAAAAGACGGAGCCGUAGCGAAAGCGAGUCUGAAGAGGGCGAGCAGUUGGCUGACGCAGACCCGAAACCAAGUGACCUACCCAUGACCAGGUUGAAGGCGCGGUAAAACGCGCUGGAGGACCGAACCCACGUAAGUUGAAAAUUGCGGGGAUGAGUUGUGGGUAGCGGUGAAAUUCCAAACGAACUUGGAGAUAGCUGGUUCUCUCCGAAAUAGCUUUAGGGCUAGCCUCGCAAAGAGGAUGCUGGAGGUAGAGCUCUGUUUGGACUAGGGGCCCGUCAAGGGUUACUGAAUUCAGAUAAACUGCGAAUUCCAGACAUUUAUGUGCGGGAGUCAGACUGCGAGUGAUAAGAUCCGUAGUCGAAAGGGAAACAGCCCAGAUCACCAGUUAAGGUCCCAAAAUUCAUGCUAAGUGGAAAAGGAUGUGGAGUUGCGCAGACAACUAGGACGUUGGCUCAGAAGCAGCCAUCAUUCAAAGAGUGCGUAAUAGCUCACUAGUCGAGUGACGCCGCGCCGAAAAUUUACCGGGGCUAAGCAUGAUACCGAAACUGUGGAUGUGCGUUUAUGCACGUGGUAGGAGAGCGUUCUAGCGGCGGUGAAGCAUGACCGAGAGGACAUGUGGAGCUUCUAGAAGUGAGAAUGCCGGUAUGAGUAACGAAAGACAGGUGAGAAUCCUGUCCGCCGCAAGACUAAGGUUUCCUGGGGCAGGCUCGUCCGCCCAGGGUAAGUCGGGACCUAAGGCGAGGCCGAGAGGCGUAGUCGAUGGACAACAGGUUGAAAUUCCUGUACUGCACCGAAUCGUUAUGAGCGAUGGAGGGACGCAGGAGGCUAGCAGCGCGUGGUGCUGGAUACCACGUUCAAGCGUCAAGUCUGAGAG
rnacentral:rRNA from 1 species